GGCUCAGGACGAACGCUGGCGGCGUGCUUAACACAUGCAAGUCGAGCGAGGUCCAUCCAGUGGCAACACUGGUGAAGACCUAGCGGCGAACGGGUGAGUAACACGUGAGGAACCUGCCCCAAAGACCGGGAUAACCCUCCGAAAGGAGAGCUAAUACCGGAUAUCCCCAUCGGACCGCAUGAUCUGAUGAGGAAAUGGAUUCCGCUUUGGGAGGGUCUCGCGGCCUAUCAGCUUGUUGGUGAGGUAACGGCUCACCAAGGCAUCGACGGGUAGCUGGUCUGAGAGGACGAUCAGCCACACUGGGACUGAGACACGGCCCAGACUCCUACGGGAGGCAGCAGGUGGGAAUCUUGCGCAAUGGGCGAAAGCCUGACGCAGCAACGCCGCGUGGGGGAUGAAGGCUUUCGGGUUGUAAACCCCUUUCAGCAGGGACGAUUGUGACGGUACCUGCAGAAGAAGGACCGGCCAACUACGUGCCAGCAGCCGCGGUAAUACGUAGGGUCCGAGCGUUGUCCGGAUUUAUUGGGCGUAAAGAGCUCGUAGGCGGCUCGGUAAGUCGGAUGUGAAAACUCGGGGCUCAACCCCGAGACGCCAUCCGAUACUGCUGUGGCUUGAGUCUGGUAGGGGAGAACGGAAUUCCUGGUGUAGCGGUGAAAUGCGCAGAUAUCAGGAGGAACACCGGUGGCGAAGGCGGUUCUCUGGGCCAGUACUGACGCUGAGGAGCGAAAGCGUGGGUAGCAAACAGGAUUAGAUACCCUGGUAGUCCACGCCGUAAACGUUGGGCACUAGGUGUGGGUUCCUAUCGACGGAAUCCGUGCCGUAGCUAACGCAUUAAGUGCCCCGCCUGGGGGAGUACGGGCCGCAGGCUAAAACU
rnacentral:rRNA from 1 species